CCUACGGGAGGCAGCAGUGAGGAAUAUUGGUCAAUGGGCUUACGCCUGAACCAGCCAAGUCGCGUGAGGGAAGACUGCCCUAUGGGUUGUAAACCUCUUUUGUCAGGGAGCAACGCCGGCUACGUGUAGCCGGACUGAGAGUACCUGAAGAAAAAGCAUCGGCUAACUCCGUGCCAGCAGCCGCGGUAAUACGGAGGAUGCGAGCGUUAUCCGGAUUUAUUGGGUUUAAUGGGUGCGUAGGCGGAAUGCCAAGUCAGCGGUAAAAUCGCGGGGCUCAACCUCGCUCCGCCGUUGAAACUGGCGGUCUUGAGUGGGCGAGAAGUAUGCGGAAUGCGUGGUGUAGCGGUGAAAUGCAUAGAUAUCACGCAGAACUCCGAUUGCGAAGGCAGCAUACCGGCGCCCAACUGACGCUGAGGCACGAAAGCGUGGGUAUCGAACAGGAUUAGAUACCCUUGUAGUC
rnacentral:rRNA from 1 species